AUUGAACGCUGGCGGCAGGCCUAACACAUGCAAGUCGAGCGGAUGACGGGAGCUUGCUCCUUGAUUCAGCGGCGGACGGGUGAGUAAUGCCUAGGAAUCUGCCUGGUAGUGGGGGACAACGUUUCGAAAGGAACGCUCAUACCGCAUACGUCCUACGGGAGAAAGCAGGGGACCUUCGGGCCUUGCGCUAUCAGAUGAGCCUAGGUCGGAUUAGCUAGUUGGUGGGGUAAUGGCUCACCAAGGCGACGAUCCGUAACUGGUCUGAGAGGAUGAUCAGUCACACUGGAACUGAGACACGGUCCAGACUCCUACGGGAGGCAGCAGUGGGGAAUAUUGGACAAUGGGCGAAAGCCUGAUCCAGCCAUGCCGCGUGUGUGAAGAAGGUCUUCGGAUUGUAAAGCACUUUAAGUUGGGAGGAAGGGCAGUAAGCUAAUACCUUGCUGUUUUGACGUUACCGACAGAAUAAGCACCGGCUAACUCUGUGCCAGCCGCCGCUGUAACAC
rnacentral:rRNA from 1 species